rnacentral:misc_RNA from 1 species
CAGACUUACACAUACACAUUAUUAUACACAUAUGCGUGUUUUUGCGCUGAAUUAUAUGGAUUAUACUAAAUCUGCUUUUGUUAUACGUAAGGCCACCAUCAAGCCGGAAUGACAUUGGACUUCAUAAUGGUGAUGCCCAGGCUUUGGUUUGCGUUCAUGCUGGUGUAUAUCGCGUCGCAUAGGAUCCUUGUCAGUGGCCAACCUUGGGUUCCAAAGUAUAUGGGAAAUAUCUACAGGGAGCUACCAUUUUGCCAGGAUAUAGGGGGUCAAAGUUCAUGUGCAGUUUAUGGUGGCACUUUCAACCUAACAUGUGAGAUCAAUGAUCUCUAUACCGGCAAAAGUAACGCAUCUCACAUAUUUUUUCAGUAUCAAUCGGGGAGUUUACCAAAGCAAACAUAUCCAGAAAAAUUCACAAGGGUUCUCUCAAACACAACAGCACAGCUAAUAGUUCCCGACAUGCCACAUUUUGACUUAAUCGACCCAGAGUAUGGACGUUGCCAUCAUUUUUGUAUGAUAAAAGAAGGUGAAAAAAUGACAGAGUUAGUAAAGAGUUUGACCGUUGUUGGACGUUUGCCACCUCAGCCACAUAGUAUCGAGUGUCAAUGGAUCAACUGGGCAAACCUUGAAUGUAACUGGCAGCCAUCUUCUUUUAAGAGUAAAGCGGUGUUCAUGGAUAUAAAAGCGUCAUUGAAAACAUGCCCGUCGUGUGACGUCAGUCAGGUGGUCAAUCUAAGGUACCCUUCUGAUGAUGACGUGGAUAGAUGUAUAUUCACCAUUAAUACGAGCGCUACAUAUUUUCACGUGGAAGUUAAUAUCAGUAACCCAUUCGACAAAGUGGGGAAAUCAGCAUAUAUUUCGGGAGACCUGCAUACACUGAGUAAUAGACUGUAACGGUUCAAACACAAUGGCCGUGUUUUUGCAUGUAACUUGUAUAAAUUCAUGAAUUGGCAAUUGAGGUUGAUAGAGUGCAUCUUGGGCAUCUUUUUUUUUAAAUCGGAGUAUAUUUUUCAAAACCCCUUUAUUCAGAUUGAGGUCAUUUUCAUAAUCUUAGGCAUCAUACAAUAUUACAGGGUGACACAUAUGCUAGGCAUUGUAUUGGGGCAUAAAAAUACAUUUUACCAUCUUAGAUUUAAUUACAAUAUGUAUUUCUUUUGGCCAAACUCUGCCUUGAUAUUUUUAAUAUAUGUUAAAGCCUUAUCCUAUCCAGUUUGAUGAAUGUAUAAACCGCAUGUGUAAAAAGCACGGUCUGUGUCAUCUUAAAAUUUCCUACAUUGUAUUAUAAGCCGCAAAAGUUUGAUCUCAGGAAAUAUGGAUCUAAACUAAAUUUAACUAGAAAAUAAAUAUCAACAAUGAAGUGAAAUACGAU